rnacentral:rRNA from 1 species
ACGCUGGCGGCGUGCUUAACACAUGCAAGUCGAACGGGAUCCAUCAGGCUUUGCUUGGUGGUGAGAGUGGCGAACGGGUGAGUAAUGCGUGACCGACCUGCCCCAUACACCGGAAUAGCUCCUGGAAACGGGUGGUAAUGCCGGAUGCUCCGACUCCUCGCAUGGGGUGUCGGGAAAGAUUUCAUCGGUAUGGGAUGGGGUCGCGUCCUAUCAGGUAGUCGGCGGGGUAACGGCCCACCGAGCCUACGACGGGUAGCCGGCCUGAGAGGGCGACCGGCCACAUUGGGACUGAGAUACGGCCCAAACUCCUACGGGAGGCAGCAGUGGGGAAUAUUGCACAAUGGGCGCAAGCCUGAUGCAGCGACGCCGCGUGCGGGAUGACGGCCUUCGGGUUGUAAACCGCUUUUGAUCGGGAGCAAGCCUUCGGGUGAGUGUACCUUUCGAAUAAGCACCGGCUAACUACGUGCCAGCAGCCGCGGUAAUACGUAGGGUGCAAGCGUUAUCCGGAAUUAUUGGGCGUAAAGGGCUCGUAGGCGGUUCGUCGCGUCCGGUGUGAAAGUCCAUCGCUUAACGGUGGAUCUGCGCCGGGUACGGGCGGGCUGGAGUGCGGUAGGGGAGACUGGAAUUCCCGGUGUAACGGUGGAAUGUGUAGAUAUCGGGAAGAACACCAAUGGCGAAGGCAGGUCUCUGGGCCGUUACUGACGCUGAGGAGCGAAAGCGUGGGGAGCGAACAGGAUUAGAUACCCUGGUAGUCCACGCCGUAAACGGUGGAUGCUGGAUGUGGGGCCCGUUCCACGGGUUCCGUGUCGGAGCUAACGCGUUAAGCAUCCCGCCUGGGGAGUACGGCCGCAAGGCUAAAACUCAAAGAAAUUGACGGGGGCCCGCACAAGCGGCGGAGCAUGCGGAUUAAUUCGAUGCAACGCGAAGAACCUUACCUGGGCUUGACAUGUUCCCGACAGCCGUAGAGAUAUGGCCUCCCUUCGGGGCGGGUUCACAGGUGGUGCAUGGUCGUCGUCAGCUCGUGUCGUGAGAUGUUGGGUUAAGUCCCGCAACGAGCGCAACCCUCGCCCUGUGUUGCCAGCACGUCAUGGUGGGAACUCACGGGGGACCGCCGGGGUCAACUCGGAGGAAGGUGGGGAUGACGUCAGAUCAUCAUGCCCCUUACGUCCAGGGCUUCACGCAUGCUACAAUGGCCGGUACAACGGGAUGCGACACGGCGACGUGGAGCGGAUCCCUGAAAACCGGUCUCAGUUCGGAUUGGAGUCUGCAACCCGACUCCAUGAAGGCGGAGUCGCUAGUAAUCGCGGAUCAGCAACGCCGCGGUGAAUGCGUUCCCGGGCCUUGUACACACCGCCCGUCAAGUCAUGAAAGUGGGUAGCACCCGAAGCCGGUGGCCUAACCCUUUGUGGAUGGAGCCGUCUAAGGUGAGACUCGUGAUUGG